UACGAAGGGGGCUAGCGUUGUUCGGAAUUACUGGGCGUAAAGCGUGCGCAGGCGGUUAUGGAAGACAGAUGUGAAAUGCCCGGGCUUAACCUGGGAACUGCAUUUGUGACUGCAUGGCUAGAGUUUGGCAGAGGGAGGUAGAAUUCCACGUGUAGCAGUGAAAUGCGUAGAGAUGUGGAGGAAUACCGAUGGCGAAGGCAGCCUCCUGGGAUAACACUGACGCUCAUGCACGAAAGCGUGGGGAGCAAACAGG
rnacentral:rRNA from 1 species